AGAGUUUGAUCCUGGCUCAGAUUGAACGCUGGCGGUAUGCCUUACACAUGCAAGUCGAACGGCAGCACGGGAGCAAUCCUGGUGGCGAGUGGCGAACGGGUGAGUAAUAUAUCGGAACGUGCCCAGUCGUGGGGGAUAACGCAGCGAAAGCUGUGCUAAUACCGCAUACGAUCUAUGGAUGAAAGCGGGGGAUCGCAAGACCUCGCGCGAUUGGAGCGGCCGAUAUCAGAUUAGCUAGUUGGUGGGGUAAAGGCCCACCAAGGCGACGAUCUGUAGCUGGUCUGAGAGGACGACCAGCCACACUGGAACUGAGACACGGUCCAGACUCCUACGGGAGGCAGCAGUGGGGAAUUUUGGACAAUGGGCGCAAGCCUGAUCCAGCAAU
rnacentral:rRNA from 1 species